GUCUGGCCCUUCAACUGCCAACAGUCGCCCUCUCUCAGUUGCCCUCUUUCCCAUACUGCCUGACCCAGACAUCAUCUCCUGAAUCAAUGAGGUCAGUGCAUCCGGACCAUGAGACAUCUGAAAGUCCUGCUGCAAGGAAAGGAAAGCCUCCCUAAAUCUAGCAUCAGUCAUUAGAAAAAUGUGGUGGGUGGCACACUAAAC